rnacentral:misc_RNA from 1 species
AAGUCGUAACAAGGUUUCCGUAGGUGAACCUGCGGAAGGAUCAUUACAGAGAUCGGGGCUUCGGUCCCCUAAUCUACACCCAAUGCGAAUAUACCUUUGUUGCUUUGGCGGGCCUUGGGGUUCGCCCCAUGCCGGCCGGGAGGCCUUGCGGCCCAGGUCAGCUCGUGUCCGUCGGAGGCCCAUUCAACUCUGUUUAAUAGUGUCGUCCGAGUUCAUAUACAAUCGUCAAAA